rnacentral:tRNA from 1 species
GUCUCUGUGGCUUAAUUGGUUAAUGAACCUGACUCAUAAACAGGAAAUCCUGGGUUCAAUUGCCAGAGGGACU